UCCCUGGUGGUCCGGGGGUUAGGACUCCACACUUCCAAUGCAGUGGGUACAGGUUCAGUCCCUGGCCAGGGAA
rnacentral:tRNA from 1 species